rnacentral:rRNA from 1 species
AAACUCAAAGGAAUUGACGGGGACCCGCACAAGCGGUGGAUGAUGUGGUUUAAUUCGAUGCAACGCGAAAAACCUUACCCACCUUUGACAUGUACGGAAUCCUUUAGAGAUAGAGGAGUGCUCGAAAGAGAGCCGUAACACAGGUGCUGCAUGGCUGUCGUCAGCUCGUGUCGUGAGAUGUUGGGUUAAGUCCCGCAACGAGCGCAACCCUUGCCAUUAGUUGCUACGAAAGGGCACUCUAAUGGGACUGCCGGUGACAAACCGGAGGAAGGUGGGGAUGACGUCAAGUCCUCAUGGCCCUUAUAGGUGGGGCUACACACGUCAUACAAUGGCUGGUACAGAGGGUUGCCAACCCGCGAGGGGGAGCUAAUCCCACAAAGCCAGUCGUAGUCCGGAUCGCAGUCUGCAACUCGACUGCGUGAAGUCGGAAUCGCUAGUAAUCGCGGAUCAGAAUGUCGCGGUGAAUACGUUCCCGGGUCUUGUACACACCGCCCGUCACACCAUGGGAGCGGGUUCUGCCAGAAGUAGUUAGCCUAACCGCAAGGAGGGCGAUUACCACGGCAGGGUUCGUGACUGGGGUGAAGUCGUAACAAGGUAGCCGUAUCGGAAGGUGCGGCUGGAUCACCUCCUUUAUG